rnacentral:rRNA from 1 species
UACGGAGGGUGCAAGCGUUAUCCGGAUUCACUGGGUUUAAAGGGUGCGUAGGCGGAUAAGUAAGUCCGUGGUGAAAUCCUGCAGCUUAACUGCAGAACUGCCGUGGACACUAUUUGUCUUGAAUGCCGUGGAGGUUAGCGGAAUAUGUCAUGUAGCGGUGAAAUGCUUAGAGAUGACAUAGAACACCUAUUGCGAAGGCAGCUAACUACGCGGUGAUUGACGCUGAGGCACGAAAGCGUGGGGAUCAAACAGG